UGGGGAAUUUUGGACAAUGGGCGCAAGCCUGAUCCAGCAAUGCCGCGUGCAGGAUGAAGGCCUUCGGGUUGUAAACUGCUUUUGUACGGAACGAAAAAGCUCUCUCUAAUACAGGGGGUGAAUGACGGUACCGUAAGAAUAAGCACCGGCUAACUACGUGCCAGCAGCCGCGGUAAUACGGAGGGUGCGAGCGUUAUCCGGAUUUACUGGGUUUAAAGGGUGCGUAGGUGGGCUUAUAAGUCAGUGGUGAAAUCUCCGAGCUUAACUUGGAAACUGCCGUUGAUACUAUAGGUCUCGAAUUAUCUGGAUGUAAGCGGAAUAUGGCAUGUAGCGGUGAAAUGCUUAGAUAUGACAUAGAACACCAAUUGCGAAGGCAGCUUACUACAUAUAAAUUGACGCUGAGGCACGAAAGCGUGGGGAUCAAACA
rnacentral:rRNA from 1 species